GACGAACGCUGGCGGCGUGCUUAACACAUGCAAGUCGAACGGAAAGGCCUGCUUUCCCUUGUGGAUUGCGGGUACUCGAGUGGCGAACGGGUGAGUAACCCGUGAGUGAUCUGCCCCCAACUUGGGUAUAAGCCUGGGAAACUGGGUCUAAUUCCCGAUAGGACUGCAGGGUGGUGCCUGUGGUGGAAAACGAUUUUCUAGUGGUUGGGGAUGAGCUCGCGGCCUAUCAGCUUGUUGGUGGGGUAAUGGCCUACCAAGGCGGCGACGGGUAGCCGGCCUGAGAGGGUGGACGGCCACAUUGGGACUGAGAUACGGCCCAGACUCCUACGGGAGGCAGCAGUGGGGAAUAUUGCACAAUGGGCGGAAGCCUGAUGCAGCGACGCCGCGUGGGGGAUGACGGCCUUCGGGUGGUAAACUCCUUUCGACCGCGAGGAAGCCACCUGGUUGGAAGGGUGGUGACGGUAGUGGUAGAAGAAGCACCGGCUAACUACGUG
rnacentral:rRNA from 1 species